rnacentral:rRNA from 1 species
GGUGAACGCUGGCGGCGUGCUUAAGACAUGCAAGUCGAACGGGCUCUUCGGAGCUAGUGGCGCACGGGUGAGUAACGCGUAACUGACCUACCCCAAAGUCGCGGAUAACGAUUCGAAAGAAUCGCUAAUACGUGAUGUGCUGUCAGAUUGUGUUCUGCCAGUAAAGAUUGAUUGCUUUGGGAUGGGGUUGCGUUCCAUCAGCUAGUUGGUGGGGUAAAGGCCCACCAAGGCGACGACGGAUAGCCGGCCUGAGAGGGUGGCCGGCCACAGGGGCACUGAGACACGGGUCCCACUCCUACGGGAGGCAGCAGUUAGGAAUCUUCCACAAUGGGCGAAAGCCUGAUGGAGCGACGCCGCGUGAGGGAUGAAGGUCUUCGGAUCGUAAACCUCUGAAUCAGGGACGAAAGACACUUCGGUGGGAUGACGGUACCUGAGUAAUAGCACCGGCUAACUCCGUGCCAGCAGCCACAGUAACAC